rnacentral:lncRNA from 1 species
CUCAUGCCUGUAAUCCCAGCACUUUGGGAGACGGAGGCAGGCAGAUCAUGAGGUCAGGAGAUCGAGACCAUCCUGGCUCACACGGUGAAACCCCGUCUCUACUAAAAAUACAAAAAAUUAGCCGGGUGUGGUGGCGGGCGCCUGUAGUCCCAGCUGCCUCGGGAGGCUGAGGCAGGAGAAUGGCAUAAACCCGGGAGGCGGAGCUUGCAGUGAGCCAAGAUGGUGCCACUGCACUCCAGCCUGGGUGACAGAUUGAGACUCCGUCUCAAAAACAAAAACAAAAAAACACAUUCAUUCGUUCAUUCAUUCACUCAUUGAUUCUAGUAGCUCAUUAAGUUUAUCUGACCCUGAAAGGGUGGCCUCACGCUCAUUAGCCACUAGCCACAUGUCCUCAGGCUAGCUCAUGCACAGAACACACAUUUCACUUUUGCUCUAUUAGGCUCAAACUCCAAUUAGGUGUCCUAAGCUCCCGUAGAAGGACGCUGAAAGAAACCAGUAGUUUAUGCCUUCUGGAAGCCUGAUUUGCAACAAGACAGCCAAUGAAAGUCCUAAAUGAACACCUUCACUUCGGACACCUGGGUGGAGGUGCUCUUUCAUUAUCUUACCUCAGAAGACCCUUCCUUGUGGAAGAAACACUUCCAUUAGGCUGGGUGCAGUGGCUUACACCCGUAAUCCUAGCACAUUGGGAGGCUGAGGCGGGCGGAUUGCUUGAGCUCAGGAGUUCCAGACCAGCCUGAGAAACGUGGAGAAACCCCAUCUUUACCAAAAAUACAAAAAUUAGCUGGGCAUGAUGGUGAACACCUGUGGUCCCAGCUACUCGGGAGGCUGAGGUGGGAGGAUCGCUUGAAACUGGGAGGCGGAGGUUGCAGUGAGCUGAGAUCAAGCUACCGCACACCAGCCUGGGUGACAGAGUGAGACCCCAUCUCAAAAAAAAAAAAAGGAAAAAAGAAACACCCCCAUUGGCCUUACUUUGACCCUGUCUCCCAACCCUUCUCCACAAGGCAACCAGAGUGAGCUUUUUGUACAUAAAUACGGUCAUGUUACUCUCCAGCUUAAAACCAUCCAAUGUCUCUUCCCAACGUACCUAGAAUAAAACCCACAGUCAGCACCAGAAAGAAUCCACGUGGCCCUGGGUGACCCAGCCCCUCCCACCUCUCCAAUCCCACCUCCAUUCUCUUCCCUGUUCCAGUCACCAUGGUCUUCUGUUCUGAAAAUUUCUUUUUUUUUUUGAGACAGAGUUUCACUGUGGUUGCCCAGGCUCAAGUGCAAUGGCACGAUCUCGGCUCACGGCAACCUCCGCCUACCAGAGUUCAAGCAAUUCUCCUGCCUCAGCCUCCUGAGUAGCUGGGAUUACAGGCAUGCGCCACCACGCCCAGCUAAUUUUGUAUUUUUAGUAGAGAUGGGGUUUCUCCAUGUUGGCCAGGUUCGUCUCGAACUCUGGGCCUCAGGUGAUCUGCCCGCCUUGGCCUCCCAAAGUGCUGGGAUUACAGGCGUGAGCCACUGUGCCUGGCCUGUUCUGGGAAUUUCUGUAGCCUGAAGCUCUUACACUUACUGUCCCGUCUACCAGGAAUGCUCUUUUGUUUUGGUGGGAGACGGGAUCUUGCUCUGUCAUCCAGGCUGGAGUGUAGUGGUGUGACCAUGGCCUACUGUAGCCUGGACCUCUUGUGCUCAAGAGAUCCUCCCAAGUAGCUGGAACUACAGGCACAUACCCGGCUAAUUUUAUUCUUUUUUGUAGAGAUGAGGUCUCUACAAAAAAGCUCUCUAUGUUGCCCAGGCUAGUCUCAAACUCUUGGGCUCAAGCGAUCCUCUGGCCUUGGCCUCCCAAAGUGCUGGGAUUACAGGCAUGAGCCACUGCUCCUGUCCUGGAAUGCUCUUCCUUCCGGUCUUUAAUGUACUUCAGUGAUCAGUUUGAAUGUCACCUCCUCACAGAAGCCUUCCAGGACUUCCCAACUCGAUUUUCUUGUGUUUUUUUUCCCACUGCUGUGAUAAAAGAUAACCCAAAUCUAAAGUAGUCCUCUCUCUCCCGUUCUGUCCCCUUAUUUGUGAUCAUAGCACAUAUAGCUAUCUGAAAUUGUCCUGUUAAUAUAUUUCUUUACCUGUUCACUCUCUGACUCCCUCUACUAGAAUGUAAGGUCCACGAGCCAGAGACUUUAGGUUCUGUUCACUGCUGUAUCUUCAGCACCUACAACAGUGCCUGGCACAUGGCAGACCCUCAGUAAAUAUUUGUUGAAUGAAUGGAGUACAGGAAAGCUGCAGCCUACUGUCCUGACACCUGGCAACUAAGAGGGCACAUAUCAGUGUGGUCCAAGGAACUUUUGAAAAAAAUCCAGAUUUCUGAGCUUCAUCCAAG